UUUUUCAAUUUAUGUUCUUCAGUAGACACAGAUAUACGUGAGUACCAAAAUAACAUUUGUGAGAAGUUUAUUCAUCUGAUUGAUUGAGAGAGAAAUCACCAUGGUUGAUGCAGCUCUAAUUAGUGGUUUGGUUUCAAAUUUGGCACCUCUGAUUAAUGAUGAAUUCUCUUUGUUUUGGAGUUUUAAGAAGGAGGUUCAAAAGCUAUCGAGCACUCUAUCUGCAAUUAAUGCCGUACUCAAUGAUGCUGAGCGAAAGACCGUGCGGGAGAAGGACGAACAAACGGAAGAUUGGUUGCGAAAACUUAAAGAUGUAUUGUAUGAAGUUCGGGACAUCAUAGAUGAUUGCAGAUUUGAAGAUCUUCGUCUUCAAGUCAAAAGGCGUAAUGCCUUCUCUUCAACCCGGAUCAAGGUAACCAAUUUUAUCACCCAUCCUUUUAGCAAUACUAAGAUGCGUCUCAAAAUUGGUCACAAAAUUAAGGAUGUUCAAGAGAAGUUAGACCAAAUUUCUUCAGAGCGCCAAAAGUUACAUUUUCGUGAAUCUAUUCAUGACUCAAAAAUAGACAAUCUUACUAGUAGUUGGCGUGAAACCAUGUCUCUUCCUAGUUCUAGUAAAGUAUAUGGGAGAGAAAAGGAGAAGAAACAGAUUAUUGAUAUUCUACUCAAUAAUACAUCUAGUGUUAGUGUUGCUACAGAACUAUCUGUUUUGCCUAUUGUUGGAAUUGGGGGUCUAGGUAAAACAACACUUUCCCAAAUGGUCUUCAACGAUGACCAUGUUUCUAAGCAUUUUGAUCCCAAAAUCUGGGUUUGUGUUUCUGAUGAAUUUGAUAUUAAGUUGAUCAUCAAAGCCAUCAUAGGAGCAAAUAAUGAAACUUCCUUGGAGAUAUUGCAGAAAAUGAUUCAAGAUAAAUUGAGAGGGAAAAGAUAUUUGAUUGUAUUGGAUGAUGUUUGGAAUGAAAACGAAGAUGCAUGGAAUCAAUUGAGAUCUAUAUUAGAUUGUGGAUCAAACGGUGCGUUUGUCCUUACCACCACACGUAAAGGAAAUGUGGCAAAAAUAAUGAAAAACCAAAGCAUUCCACAUUUUGAAUUAUCAUCACUAUCUGAAGAUGAUUGUUGGUUAUUAUUCGAAGAACGUGCAUUUGAGCAUGGAAAACCAAAACCUCCAAACUUCAUUAAUAUUGGUAAAGAAAUAGCUAAAAAAUGUAAGGGUGUUCCCUUAGCAGCCAAGACAUUGGGAAGUCAAUUGGGGUUCAAGGGUGACGAAAAGGAAUGGUGCAGAAUAAGAGAUAGCGAGAUAUGGGAGAUAUCCCAAAAUGAAGAAUCUAAUCUCUUGCCUAUUCUAAGGUUGAGUUACUAUGACCUCCCUUAUUAUUUGAGAAGAUGUUUCGUACUUUGUGCUAUAUUUCCCAAAGAUACUAAAAUUGAAAAGGAGACAUUAAUCCAAUUGUGGAUGGCCCAUGGUUUAAUUCCUAAAGUUAAAAACCAAGAAAUGGAAGAUGUUGGGAAUACAAUUUGGAAGGAGUUGUGCUGGAGAUCAUUUUUUCAAGAUGAAAAUGAUAACAAAGAUUGGUAUGAUACAGUUUAUACAACUUGUAAGAUCCAUGAUCUUAUGCACGAUCUUGCGCAAUCUAUUAUGAGAGAUGAAUCUUAUACAAUAGAUGCUAAUAGCUCAAGUGAUGACUUAAGACAAGAAAUUCAUCAUGUAACAAUAAUGGUUCAUAAGUUAGACAAAACAUCAAUUUGUUCUCUUAAGAAAAUUCGAGGGUUGCAAUCAAUAAUGUUCAAAAGCAGUUAUUGUAAUGCCACAAAGGAUAUUUGGAGUGUAACUUCCACAAAGGAUAUUUGGAGUGUCUUGAAGGAACUCUCGUCUUUACGUGUCAUUGAAGUAAGACGUCAUGUGCAAUAUGAAGAUUUGAGUAAUGUGGGAUGUCUAAAACAUCUUAGAUACCUAGACAUUUCCUAUAGUCAGAUGACCUCAUUGCCUAAUAGUAUUUGUGAUCUCUUGAACUUACAGACUCUGAAACUCAAUAACUGUUUUAAGCUUGAAAGUUUGCCUAGAAAUAUGAUGGACCUUAUUAACCUGAGACAUCUCUAUUUGGAGGGUUGUAAUGGAUUAAAAUAUAUGCCUAGAGGUAUGGGGCAAUUGAAAUAUCUCAAUAGGUUAAGCUUGUUUGUGAUAGGCAAUGAGAAAAGAGAUUGUCAACUAGAUGAAAUAAAAGAAUUGGAUAUCGGAGGAUCUUUGACAAUUAAGAAUCUUGGAAGAGUUAGGGAUGAAUCUAUUACAAGAGGGAUAAGUAUGGCUACAAAGUCGAGUAUCAAUUCAUUGAAGUUGGAAUGGACAUCUGAUGAUGAAGCCGGUGAUAAUCAGAGCAAGAGUACUAGACAUGAGAAAAUAGGCGAAGCUCUAGAGAUUUCAACUACAAGGCUAAAGAUAUUGAGAAUGUAUGGUUACAAAGGUGUGAAUAUCCCUAAAUGGGUGAGAAAGCCAUCUCCUUCUCUAACACGCCUUGUACUUAAGGGCUUGGACAAUGUGAAUAAUAUUGCUACUAGCCAUGACAUGAAUGGAAUUGAAGUAGUACUGUCAUUCCCUUUCUUAAAGGUACUUACUAUUAGUAACAUGAAGAAUUUGAGGGAAUUGGUGUCUCCUACUAUUCAUAGUCCUGGAGCAUUCCCUAAUCUAUGCACACUGCAGAUAUCUUAUUGCCCAAAGCUAGGGGCCUUGCCACCGCAUCUCAAAGCCCUCAAACAUGUAAUUGUUUGGGGUGAUUGUUCGGAUGAGUUGUUAUAUAGCAUCUCAAAUCUUAGUGCUCUCACUCAUCUCUCUAUUCAGCAUAUGGAAGAAAGAUGUGUUUUAUUUCGGGCUGGUAAGGCAUUAAUGUUUGAUGAUGAGAUACGCUCAACUUUCCAAUCUCUUCAAUCAUUGUCUAUCUGGGGCUGCAAGAAGUUAAGGCGUUUGUUGGAUGAGGGAAUGAUAAUGCAAGAGACAUUAAAGAUUAGUGCUUGCCAGAACCAACAAAAGCAUCAACUACUUCAAGGACAACAAACAGAAAGAACAAGACCUGUCAUCAACCUCAUCAACUCUCUCAAUGAUUUGGAUAUUCAUUUUUGUCCGGAGUUGAUGAUAUCAGUUGAGGAAUUUGGAAACCUCAAUAUUAAUAAUUCACUACAGAGAUUGUUUAUCAAGGAUUGUCCUAAGUUGGUGUCCUCAAAUGAAGCGGACGAUGUUAUGGAACUCUUACGUUCCCUUCGAGCAAGACUUGAUCCUAUGAUGUUCCAUGUAGAUAUUCUAUUGCAUAAAGGAAGACAGAGAACAGAGCAGAGCAUAGUGUCCUCAUAAGCAAAAUUGAAAAUGGGCAAGUUAUUGUCGGUACAGCCAAACCUCAAACCGCCUGCUGCAACAUCGACAGAGACAAGACUUUCUAAGAAAAUGUGUAAUUCAAGAAUAUCUUGCAUACCAUACUCUGGAAAGGGCACAUCAAGUCUUGCUCGAAGGGAUGAUGAUGGUAUCUCAUCAUGAUCAAACAUUAAUGCUUUAUCAGCUGAAAAAAACACUUCUUUCAUCCAUUUCUUCAAUAUAAGAUCACUAAGAUUAUUUGAGAUGCUAUAUAACAGUUCAUUGGAACAAUAGUUAGUAUUUUGAGUGAUUUGAAAUGGGAAGACAAGUUCCUUAGGUUUGUUGCAAAAUCCAUAAUGGUUUUAUUUGCAAUCGCUCUAACCACAGCUGCGAAAUG